rnacentral:tRNA from 1 species
AGUGAGAUGGCUCAGUGGGUAAGAGCACUGGACUUGGAGAUCAGAGCACCCAAGUUCAAAUCUUGUCUCAUGC